UUCCCUCCAGCUGCAGCUCACCGCGCCCGUGAGGGGGCAGCACCCGCGUCCAAGUGCGGCGUCAGCUGGUGGCUGUCCUGGGUGGCCUGGAGCAGUGGGGGGCUGACCUGCAACCCCUCACUGACCCCCAGAGCGGGCCAGGCGGACCGCCGGCUUCCCAGGGCCAGUUCGGCAACCACCGCCUUUCCACUCUAAGAAACCCAGAGCUCUCUCUGCAGCCCAAGCUUCAGGGUUCCGUCUCCUCUGCUUGGGAGAAUGGGGGAUGUUGCAGGUCGUGGUCGAAACCACCCCAGACAGAGUGAGAUGGAUGCAGUCUGGUGCCGCACCUCACCUUGAACCCUGCCCCAGCCGCCAGCAGUGGGAGCACGCCUGUAAAACCUGCUGGUUUGGUUCUGGAGAUACGAAGUUUGAGGACCACAUAGACGUGCACGCUCGGUCGUGUCUGACUCUGUGACCCCACGGACUGCAGCCCGCCAGGCUCGUCUGUCUGUGGGAUUUCCAGGCACGAACACUGGGUUUGGCCAAGGCAAAAACCAGCCCUUCUGUCUCUGGAGUGACACUGCGGAUAGCGGGGUCUGCCCGGAC